UACGUAGGGUGCGAGCGUUAAUCGGAAUUACUGGGCGUAAAGUGUGCGCAGGCGGCCGAGCAAGUCGAGUGUGAAAGCCCCGAGCUUAACUUGGGAACUGCGCUCGAAACUACUUGGCUAGAGUGUGGCAGAGGGAGGUGGAAUUCCACGUGUAGCGGUGAAAUGCGUAGAGAUGUGGAGGAACACCGAUGGCGAAGGCAGCCUCCUGGGCCAACACUGACGCUCAUGCACGAAGGCGUGGGGAGCAAACAGG
rnacentral:rRNA from 1 species